GGAUGGGUGGCCGAGCGGUUGAAGGCAACGGUCUUGAAAACCGUCGUACUCGAAAGGGUACCGGGGGUUCGAAUCCCUCCCCAUCCGCCA
rnacentral:tRNA from 1 species